CAGCCGCCACGGUAAUACGUAGGGUGCAAGCGUUAAUCGGAAUUACUGGGCGUAAAGCGUGCGCAGGCGGUUAUAUAAGUCAGAUGUGAAAUCCCCGGGCUCAACCUGGGAACUGCAUUUGAGACUGUAUGGCUAGAGUGUGUCAGAGGGGGGUAGAAUUCCACGUGUAGCAGUGAAAUGCGUAGAUAUGUGGAGGAAUACCGAUGGCGAAGGCAGCCCCCUGGGAUAACACUGACGCUCAUGCACGAAAGCGUGGGGAGCAAACAGGAUUAGAUACCCCUGUAGUCCCUGUCUCUUAUAC
rnacentral:rRNA from 1 species